UGGGGAAUAUUGCACAAUGGGCGCAAGCCUGAUGCAGCCAUGCCGCGUGUAUGAAGAAGGCCUUCGGGUUGUAAAGUACUUUCAGCGGGGAGGAAGGGAGUAAAGUUAAUACCUUUGCUCAUUGACGUUACCCGCAGAAGAAGCACCGGCUAACUCCGUGCCAGCAGCCGCGGUAAUACGGAGGGUGCAAGCGUUAAUCGGAAUUACUGGGCGUAAAGCGCACGCAGGCGGUUUGUUAAGUCAGAUGUGAAAUCCCCGGGCUCAACCUGGGAACUGCAUCUGAUACUGGCAAGCUUGAGUCUCGUAGAGGGGGGUAGAAUGCCAGGUGUAGCGGUGAAAUGCGUAGAGAUCUGGAAGAAUACCGGUGGCGAAGGCGGCCCCCUGGACGAAGACUGACGCUCAGGUGCGAAAGCGUGGGGAGCAAACAGG
rnacentral:rRNA from 1 species